rnacentral:rRNA from 1 species
CUACGGGACGCAGCAGUGAGGAAUAUUGCACAAUGGGGGGAACCCUGAUGCAGCAACGCCGCGUGGAGGAUGACGCAUUUCGGUGUGUAAACUCCUCUUAUAUGUCAAGAAAAUGACGGUAGCAUAUGAAUAAGCACCGGCUAACUCCGUGCCAGCAGCCGCGGUAAUACGGAGGGUGCAAGCGUUACUCGGAAUCACUGGGCGUAAAGGACGCGUAGGCGGGUUGGAAAGUCAGGUGUGAAAUCGUACAGCUUAACUGUAGAACUGCACUUGAAACUUCUAAUCUAGAGUAUGGGAGGGGGAGAUGGAAUUAGUGGUGUAGGGGUAAAAUCCGUAGAUAUCACUAGGAAUACCUAAAGCGAAAGCGAUCUCCUGGAACAUUACUGACGCUAAGGCGUGAAAGCGUGGGGAGCAAACAGGAUUAGAUACCCGCGUAGUC